AGGUGACUUCUGCCCAGUGCUCUGGUUGUCAAUGCCAAGAGAUUGAGCCAAGCGCGGGUAAACGGCGGGAGUAACUAUGACUCUCUUAAGGUAGCCAAAUGCCUCGUCAACCAAUUAUUGACGCGCAUGAAUGGAUCAACGAGAUUCCUGCUGUCCCUAGCUGCUAUCUGGUGAACCAACAGCCAAGGGAACGGGCUUGGAUGUGUCAGCGGGGAAAGAAGACCCUGUUGAGUUUUGACUCUAGCUUGCUGCUGUGCAACGACAUGUGGGGUGUAGCACAGGUGGGAGGCCAGUGCCAUGACGUGAAAUGCAGUGCGAGUCAUUGUGUGGAGCCUUUGGUGCGAACCAGCAGUGAAAUACCACUACCUUCACCGUCGUUUUGCUCAGUGAGUGGCUGGGGACUGGUGGCCAUUGGACAUCAACUGCUGCAUGCUUGUGGUGGUUGUGGCCUCAAACCACUUCGUGUGCCAAGCACAGUCACUCCGGUGGCUGUGUGACUCUGUGGGGUGCUGACCACACCCUGUCCAUCUGUUUGGAGCCUCGGGACAAUGAGCAGCUGGGGAGUUUGGCUGGGGCGGCACGCCUGUUACAUCACAACGCAGGCGUCCUGAAGCAAUGCUCAGAUGGAACAGAAAUCUCCCAUGGAGGAGAAGGCCAAAGGUGCUGCUGAUGUGGUGACUUUCAGUGCAAGUCCAGAACAUGCAAGUGUGGCCUAGCGAUCCUUUGGCCAAGUGCACGGGUUCCAGACAUUGAAGCCAGAGGUGUCAGAAAAAUUACCACAGGGAUAACUGGCUUGUGGCUGCCAAGCGUUCAAAGCGACGUGGCUUUUUGAUCCUUCGAUGUCGGCUCUUCCUAGCUUUGCACCCGCAGCUGAGUCAAAGAGUUGGAUUGUUCACCC
rnacentral:rRNA from 1 species